rnacentral:piRNA from 1 species
UAUACCUUGAGUAUGGUUUGCCUCUUGA